rnacentral:rRNA from 1 species
AACGAACGCUGGCGGCAGGCCUAACACAUGCAAGUCGAACGCUCCGCAAGGGGAGUGGCGCACGGGUGAGUAACACGUGGGAACCUACCUUCUGGUACGGAACAACCAAGGGAAACUUUGGCUAAGACCGUAUACGACCUCCGGGUGAAAGAUUGAUCGCCGGAAGAGGGGCCCGCGUCCGAUUAGGUAGUUGGUGGGGUAACGGCUCACCAAGCCUUCGAUCGGUAGCUGGUCUGAGAGGAUGACCAGCCACACUGGGACUGAGACACGGCCCAGACUCCUACGGGAGGCAGCAGUGGGGAAUAUUGGACAAUGGGCGCAAGCCUGAUCCAGCCAUGCCGCGUGAGUGAUGAAGGCCUUCGGUUG